UUUUUUUUUUUUUUUUUUUUUUCACAAAACAGGUAACAUUAAAACAAAUCACCACCACAAACCCUUCGUUAGCUAUUGAUAAUUCAUUUGUUCACUGGAAAUGGUUAGUAGAUAUUUUGAAUGAAUCCUUCACCACCUAUGUUGACAAUGAGAUACUGGACACUAAUAUAAUACUGAAGGUGCAUUUUCAGUGUGCUUAAGUCAAACUGAUGUGACAGGUUAAAGUAGUCAAUGAAGGAAGAAGAGCAAAACAAGAGGCAAGAGGAUGAGAAGGUAAAGGAAAGGAAGAAGACUGAGCAUAAAAAUACGAAUCAAACUCAUUUCUCUCCCUGGUGAUUUACUUUACAGACAAGACAGAAACUUACUCAAUCUGUGUAUCCCCCAGAGUAAAAAUGAUUAGUGAAUGAAUGCCUUAAUAGAUCAACGUGUGAAGCUAGUUGAUUGCAAUCUCUAUAUUGGAAACAAAUGCAUUCUCUAUAUUGGAAAGGCUUGCUAAUAUAAUAUCUCUUCAGAAAAUGAAAUUAAGAGAGGAGGGAAGUAAAAAAUUACUAUGACUAACAAUAAUGGGAAAUAAAGGCCAAGACUGGGCAAAUUUGAGUGCCAGUUGGAAUACGGGAUUCCAAUUUGAUUCUGACACUAAAAUUUCAGCUCUGCUGAAACCUAUGGUGGAAUUACACAUCCUAUUUUGGUUUCUGCACUUUACACAAACAAAUGAAAAAUGAUUGAUUAAUACCAAAUGGAUCUUGUAAAGAAAUGGCAUAGUUCUACUAAAAAACAGAUGAGAAUGCAUUUAAUUGUUGCUUUUAAUACAGAAGUCAUUAUGAAAAGAAGGUUAUGAUGGGUUUUUUUGAUAAUUGAUAUAACAGCACAUCUUUCGUGACCAGGUCAAAUCAAUUAAGUUCUGCCUGUAGUAAACAUUUUAAGAUGUUAUGAAAGACUGGUGGUCUAUGUCUGAAAAGAAGUAACAUAAAAUACUGUAAAACAGAUUUUCUAAAACAAGUCUUGGGAAAAUAUAUUCUUCUACCAUCUUCAGAACUCCCCUGAUGUACCCUCAUUUUAAGUGCUCAAGACUUGAAUCUAAAUGAAUGGCAACUGGGAAUUAUGAAAAGCAUAAAAAUAAAAAGUAUUGCAACAUCACAGGCCUAACUACUGCAAAGGUAGCUGUUUAUAAAGAGGUUCUCUCUACAGGGAAGAAUCUGCUCAGACAAUCCUGCUUAAUUAGAAAAGACUACUUAAAACACUUGACUGAUACUGAAUAUUUCAGGUAUGUAUCGGGAGAACACACCUGCUUGCAUGCUAAAUUUACCAGAUGCAUUUUUAUAUUUCAUGGUUUGAAGACCUGUAAUGGAAACCAAGGAGGUAAUGAUCAAGACUAGAUAUUUUGGGAUGAGACUGUCACCUAGAGAAAUGGGGCUUCAUGAAGAUUAGUCUGAGAUUCCAAAACAUAUUUUCAUAGUUCAGGGGUCAAAGUCAGAAAUAAUCUAGAUUUUUGAAACAAAUUUAAAUCAUUUUGAACUCUUAAAAAUUUCUGAAUUUUAGUGCUAUUAUACUAAUAAUUAAGAAUCUGUUCUGUUUCUUUUCUGAAGAAACACUUUUUUUUACAUCUAUGUAUUUAAUCGGUACAGUUAUUCCUUACAUGAAAAUAUGUACGUUUCCAGGUUCAAAGAGUUUAGCUGUUAAUAGAUUACUACAUUAUUAUUUUACACAAUAUUUUAUUUUAGAACACAGAUUCUUAUAUAUUUGUGAAAUCAAAUAAUAUUUAUACUGACCCUCUAAUAAAUUCAUAGCAGACUCUCUAUUAUAGCUGUUUUUUUUAUUAUAGCUGUUUUUAACUCCAUCAUACCAUGAUUGAUUUUAAUACAUUUAAGAGUAGCCUAAAAUUAGUUAAAUUAUAUAAAAUCAUAAUAUUUUGUUAGUACUGAAUAAAUACAACCAGAAAACCAUCCUAUUAUACAGCAUCAAGAUUUAUUUUAUAAUACUAGUUUAUCUGAAUCAAUAUUGCCAGUAUUAGUAAAGUUUACUAUGAACUGACUUAAUUAUGGAAAAGUCACAUGAAAAUUAAUGAUCUGUAGUUCAAUCUAGAAAAAGGAAGACUUCUGUUACAUUCUAAUACAGUGUCAUUGCAUUGACUUCACAUACAUGGGUUGGGUACUCUUCGUUCUCUGCAUAGGAUUUUAUGCUAAUUACACAAUUAAAAGUAAACACUAGCCUGAAUUUUCAUUAUUGUUCAAUUAGUUAUUUAAUGAGCAUCAUCUACCUAUCCCAAAAUAUUUAGUUUCAUAUUUCCUAAAAUAUUAAGUAAAGAAGACCUUUAAAUUACAUCUUCAAAAAGAAUGGAUCUCUCUCUUCUCUCAAUCUUCUCUCUCUCUCUCCUUAUAUGUACAUGUGUUUGCUUCUCUUUCUCUUUGACUCUCUCCGUCUCUGAGAAUCUCUGAACACACAAGUCCACCUCUUUAAUUUUUUAUCAUUUACAUCAAACUAGAAAUUAUAUACAAAUGUUUCAAAAUGAUAAAUUUUCCUAAAAUCACUUGUAUUUGGUUUUAGAGCUUGCUUUUUGAUUGUACAUGAAUAAAAAUUAUUUCUGAUGACCUAGAAACAAAAAAAUAGAACAAAGUAAUCAUAUAAGAAUGAUAUAUUUAAAAAGAAAGGUCAAACUGUAUUAUCCUCAAUGCAUAAGAAGUUGUUCAACCUUCCAGCCAUCCAUUCUCAAAUUCAUGACUCUCAGCCUAAGCACUGUGGCUUUUCCGCUAAAGAUUUCCCAAAUCUUCCCUAGAUUUAAGUAGGUUAUUCAGAGAAAACAAUGUUUAAAAAGUUCAAAUAAAGAUUUGUUAUGUCACAAAGUUGAUACAUUUCGGACAGAUGGUUUACACAUCAGCAGAAAAUUU
rnacentral:lncRNA from 1 species